CCCAGAUUACAUCAUCUCAAUAAAGAGGUCUGAGUGUAAUCGUACUAUGAUUUCAAACCCUGCAAGCUAAAAUAUUGCAGUUUAGUAGAAAAUAUAAUGUUUACAUUGCAUUGUUCAAAAAACACCUCUAGCGAACACAGGGUUUUCAGACAAAUCCUUUACCGACCAAAGGGGAGAUUGGGCCUGGGUUUACCCAACUUACACCUUUACUACUUGUCAGCAAAACUUGCACAGAUUAAAG